AGGAGGAGUCGGAGAAGAAAGAGGGGUCAACAAUAAUUUCCCCCAAAUGGAGGAUGCAUGAAGAUCCCUUCCUAAAUUGUGGAGGAAAAGAUGAUGAGGCGGACUCGACAGACCACCAUCCUGGAGUCGCACGUCUCUCUUCGGUGCCCGCUGAGCAAGGUGCUCAAAGUCCCCGAUCCGGUCUGCUCCAGCUUGAAGACCUUGCCGAUUGCCAAGAGGAAGCCAAAGACCUUGAAGAAGGCAGCGGUGGGUCGGGAAUCGAUGGCAGCGAAUGAGACAACGGAGAGGAUGGUAAAGGCGAAGGAGGCUGCGUACAAGGACAUGGCGGAGGGAUAGGCCGCAAACAAGAGCAUAGCAGAGGAGGAGGCGGCUAAGAUGACAGCGGUGGAGGCGACAACGAAGAAAGCAUCCAAGAGGGAAGGAGUCGCCCGGGAAUGACGAUCGGCGUUGGCUGCGGACCGUGUCGAUGUCAAGGACUCGUAGGGGCCAAAUGACAUGGAGGCGAAGGCUAGCAAGUAGCAGUCCCCAAUGACUGGGGCGACCCCGACAAACCUUGAAGUGGUGUUGGUCGACAUAGACAGCGAGGACGCCGCCAGCAACAUGUCCAUGGUGCAUCCACUCCCCUCCAUGGCCUUCGAUGAGCUACAUCGCCUUCUGGGUGGCUCUCACAAGUGUGAGAUAGCAGCGGCAAAUACUGAGAUUGAGCUGCUGAGCAAGGAGCUAGCCCAGACGAUGAAGAAGAACGGCUGCUUGUUCUCCCUGACAAGAAAGUUCACGUGAAUCACCCUUCUCUUUUUAUUGUUGCCCUUUUUACGACUGCCACCUAUUGUUGUGGAGUGCUUGCACAGAAUCGGGAGGAAGAGCUUCCCACGCCUGCGACAACUAUCUCCCGACCAAGUAGGUCCAUGCCAAAAUCACGGAGAUGGAGGACCAGCAUAAUAUAACCUACACUGCAUUGGAGAGCGCCAAGGCGGAAGUCAUUCAACUAAAGGAGGGCCUUGAGGCCAAGCAGAAGGAGUUGGAAGCAUCAUCAUUGAACAUCGUGGACAUAUCCAACGGACGAAGGAUGCGCUCGAGAAGCUCAUCGUCGACUAGU